rnacentral:lncRNA from 1 species
AAAUUAGGGCGUUACACAACCCGUAUGCCUCACACGGCCAGUAGACAUGCCCGUGUGUCUAAGCCGUGUAACUCACCGACUUGAUUUUAAAGAGAGCUUCAGGGGACACACGGCCGUGUACCAUGACUGUGUGUCACACACUAUAACACCCCCUACCCGUAUCCAUCGCCGGAAUAGAGUACGAGGCAUUACCAAGAAGCACG